GACGAACGCUGGCGGCGCGCUUAACACAUGCAAGUCGAGCGAUGAAAUUUCGACAGAUCCCUUCGGGGUGAAGAUGAAAUGGAUUAGCGGCGGACGGGUGAGUAACACGUGAGUAACCUGCCUUUGACAUUGGGAUAGCCUCGGGACACUGGGAUUAAUACCAAAUGACACUAACUGAUCACAUGAUCAAUUAGUCAAAGAAAUUCGGUCAAAGAUGGACUCGCGGCUGAUUAGCUAGUUGGUGAGGUAACGGCCCACCAAGGCGACGAUCAGUAGCCGGCCUGAGAGGGUGAUCGGCCACAUUGGAACUGAGACACGGUCCAAACUCCUACGGGAGGCAGCAGUGGGGAAUAUUGCACAAUGGGGGAAACCCUGAUGCAGCGACGCCGCGUGAGCGAAGAAGGCCUUCGGGUCGUAAAGCUCUUUUAUGAGGGAAGAUAAUGACGGUACCUCAAGAAAAAGCCCCGGCUAACUACGUG
rnacentral:rRNA from 1 species